rnacentral:rRNA from 1 species
AGUGGCGAACGGGUGAGGAACACGUGAGAAAUUUGCCCCGAACUUUGGGAUAACAGUUGGAAACGACUGCUAAUACCGAAUGCCGUUACGAAGUGGCAUCACUUUGUAACGAAAGAAUUUCGGUUCGGGAGAAUCUCGCGGCCUAUCAGCUUGUUGGUGAGGUAAUGGCUCACCAAGGCUACGACGGGUAGCUGGUCUGAGAGGAUGAUCAGCCACACUGGGACUGAGACACGGCCCAGACUCCUACGGGAGGCAGCAGUGGGGAAUCUUGUGCAAUGGACGAAAGUCUGACACAGCCACGCCGCGUGCGGGAAGAAGGCCUUCGGGUUGUAAACCGCUUUCAGCAGGAACGAAAAUGACGGUACCUGCAGAAGAAGGAGCGGCCAACUACGUGCCAGCAGCCGCGGUGACACGUAGGCUCCAAGCGUUGUCCGGAUUUAUUGGGCGUAAAGAGCUCGUAGGCGGUUCAGCAAGUCGGGUGUGAAAACUCUGGGCUCAACCCAGAGCCUGCACCCGAAACUGCUGUGACUAGAGUUCGGUAGGGGAGUGGGGAAUUCCUAGUGUAGCGGUGAAAUGCGCAGAUAUUAGGAGGAACACCGAUGGCGAAGGCACCACUCUGGGCCGAAACUGACGCUGAGGAGCGAAAGCGUGGGUAGCAAACAGGAUUAGAUACCCUGGUAGUCCACGCCGUAAACGAUGGGCACUAGGUGUGGGUCUCUAACCAACGAGAUCCGCGCCGUCGCUAACGCAUUAAGUGCCCCGCCUGGGG